rnacentral:rRNA from 1 species
UACAGAGGGGCAAGCGUUAUUCGGAAUUAUUGGGCGUAAAGGGCGCGUAGGCGGCUUGGCAAGUGGAUGGUGAAAUCCCUCGGCUUAACCGAGGAACUGCCGUCCAAACUGCUUUGCUUGAGACCGGGAGAGGUGAGUGGAAUUCCCAGUGUAGCGGUGAAAUGCGUAGAUAUUGGGAGGAACACCAGUGGCGAAGGCGGCUCACUGGACCGGUACUGACGCUGAUGCGCGAAAGCGUGGGGAGCAAACGG